rnacentral:lncRNA from 1 species
UCCUGUGAAGCACGACGCUCGUCGCCGGCCCGCUCGUCCGCCUCCCUCGCGCGACAAUAUUGGCGGCCGCCCGACAGUCUCUCAUCUAGCGCUCGGCGCCUGUCCCUGGCCCGUCCCCCACACAGACGGGGGUGACUCCUCCGUCCUCCACAGGGUCAGAAACAAAGAAUCCACCAGGCCGUGACAACGUAGAAGCUCCUCCCUUAGCAGAUGUGUUCUUCCUCUACACCACCUGUGGAACAGUUCAUGCACCCCGUUGCCAUCGAUUCGAUGGUCUACAGGUAAGUAUUGCUUCCUUAAGUCACUUUCGGUCCGUCAUACAACGAGGUUCUUGUUUCCUCUAAUUAGCAUGUGUGGGCACUACUACUGCUACUUGUGCAGAUCCACAAUGUUGAGUUUGCAAAACUUGCAGAUGUUUGAUGUAAGAUGCCCGACCGUACUAGAUGGAAGAAAGCUCAAUGAAAUGAAAAGGGGGCAAAGGAAUAACCAAGGAGGCGAGGGGGUCACAAGCUUGAAGCCAACGGGAGGUUAUGGCGUCACCUUAAAUUUGUAACUCCAGUAACUAAGUGCAUUUCCUUUUUUAGGUCGAACAUGUGAUCCUUCUUAUUACUGAAACCAAGUAUCCACUAAGACUGAUUGUUCUCUUAUUGUGGUCUGACAAGACUUAAAUAUUGGUAUGCCCCGAAGAGUGUCUUAUCUCAUGAGUUUUUAUAUCUGCAGAGUGUGCACAUGAGUUUCUUCCCUUUCUUUACUUAUUAAUAAAAAUGAAGUACAAUGCAUGUUAUCGUUAAUAAAUUAAUAACACUAAGAAGGAAUUCAGAAUAAUGACAUACUAAUAACAACAAGUUGGAAUUCUGAAUAAAAAUAGUGCAUGAGAAAUAUAGCAUGCACCUUAACAUAGAAAUAUCCUUUUCAAUUGCUCAGAUGUUAAUACUGCAAAUGUUGUUUUUCUGUUCUCUUAAGAAUGGCUUUAGAUAGAGAGCUGCGCCCAUGUUGUAUGCCAAGAUUAGUCCUUCGAUUUGUCAUUUUUGACUCAGCACAUGUUCUCUAUAGAAUAUUUUUAAAGGUCUAUAGAAUUUGAUCUGCAAGCUUUCGAUCCUAAUUGAUACAUCGUUAUAAGAGCUAUUUCUUGUUUGUAAGAUGAAUAUUGUCUAUAUCGAGAGAAGCAAGGGUGGAUAAUAGUGGCAGUUGUUAGAUCUGUAACUAGUUAGUUCUUCAACACAGGUAAUUACUUGAACCGAAUAUGGUGGACGGUUUCUUACAAAUAUUGACCUUUUAAAUCUGUAACCAGUUGUCAAGUGACCACUUAUUUCAAGUUUCUGUUAUGUCUCCAUUUUUAGGAUUCCUUGAAGUUCUACUGUUAAAUGGUUAUUUUGAGUGUCCGCUAUCAUUUCAAUGAAGUAACACGAGAAGUCAAAAAUUAUUGCAUGUUUUAUCCAUAUAUGAAAAGAAAUGAUUCUUAAGUAAAUUUCGAAAUUGUUAUGCAUAAACAAAUAAUCUGUCACUAUAAAAAAAAUAGUGUUAUGCUUCAUGAAUCUCUGAAAAGACAGUUUUGAGUUAUAGAUUUCUAUUUGACGAUCCCUUUGCCUUCUUUUAGUAAAAACAAUAGGCCCCGCAGUCGCUGCUCACCCCCCGCGGAGGAUGAGCGUGGACCGCAGAGGCGACGAGGUGGCCGAGAUAUCCGUGGCGCCGUCAUCAUUCAUCCGGACUCGGCAGGAGAAGGUCCACCCAUCUGUGGCGCCGUUGCUGUGGUCCCAAACUAAUUCCGAUAUCUGAAGGUCAUCGCUGCAUUCAGAUUUGAGAGAAGUUGGGCUUGAAUCAUCAAAUAUAAUUCUUGGCAUUGUGACGUAAGAUACGUUCUUCUACCCACGGUCUUUAUUUUUUCGACUGAAAUGCCAGGGUCUUUAUCGUUUGACUGAAUUAAUAUUCUGCUAAAUUUGUAUGUAGGCAUUCCUUUCAAAAGGGCCAUCCAUCCGCUCCUCAAGCAUUCCAUAACUUGCAGGAUACUGAGGGUUGAGUUGACUACCUGGCUCAUCAUGGAUGAUCUUUGCAUUACCUAUACACACCCUCAGAUAUUGAGGUUGUAGAAAUUAGUGAUGCAGAUAAUUGUCAUCAAUUAGGAAAAACAGGUCCCAGUCGUAUUAUGCCCAAAGCUAUCGAGAAUGCCAAUUUUAGAAAUAUAUUAUGCACCUUUAUUGAAUUUUUUUUACAGGCAGCUAUAUUCAGAGUUGUAGCAAUCCGAGUAAUUCAUAUUGGAAAUAUUAAUAUUGCCAAGGAAACAUAAGAUGAUUCAUCUAUUGGACUUUGUGAUGGGAG